rnacentral:rRNA from 1 species
GGGUUGUGAGGUUAAGCGACUAAGCGUACACGGUGGAUGCCCUGGCAGUCAGAGGCGAUGAAGGACGUGCUAAUCUGCGAUAAGCGUCGGUAAGGUGAUAUGAACCGUUAUAACCGGCGAUUUCCGAAUGGGGAAACCCAGUGUGUUUCGACACACUAUCAUUAACUGAAUCCAUAGGUUAAUGAGGCGAACCGGGGGAACUGAAACAUCUAAGUACCCCGAGGAAAAGAAAUCAACCGAGAUUCCCCCAGUAGCGGCGAGCGAACGGGGAGGAGCCCAGAGCCUGAAUCAGUGUGUGUGUUAGUGGAAGCGUCUGGAAAGGCGCGCGAUACAGGGUGACAGCCCCGUACACAAAAAUGCACAUGCUGUGAGCUCGAUGAGUAGGGCGGGACACGUGGUAUCCUGUCUGAAUAUGGGGGGACCAUCCUCCAAGGCUAAAUACUCCUGACUGACCGAUAGUGAACCAGUACCGUGAGGGAAAGGCGAAAAGAACCCCGGCGAGGGGAGUGAAAAAGAACCUGAAACCGUGUACGUACAAGCAGUGGGAGCCUCUUUAUGGGGUGACUGCGUACCUUUUGUAUAAUGGGUCAGCGACUUAUAUUCUGUAGCAAGGUUAACCGAAUAGGGGAGCCGAAGGGAAACCGAGUCUUAACUGGGCGUUAAGUUGCAGGGUAUAGACCCGAAACCCGGUGAUCUAGCCAUGGGCAGGUUGAAGGUUGGGUAACACUAACUGGAGGACCGAACCGACUAAUGUUGAAAAAUUAGCGGAUGACUUGUGGCUGGGGGUGAAAGGCCAAUCAAACCGGGAGAUAGCUGGUUCUCCCCGAAAGCUAUUUAGGUAGCGCCUCGUGAAUUCAUCUCCGGGGGUAGAGCACUGUUUCGGCAAGGGGGUCAUCCCGACUUACCAACCCGAUGCAAACUGCGAAUACCGGAGAAUGUUAUCACGGGAGACACACGGCGGGUGCUAACGUCCGUCGUGAAGAGGGAAACAACCCAGACCGCCAGCUAAGGUCCCAAAGUCAUGGUUAAGUGGGAAACGAUGUGGGAAGGCCCAGACAGCCAGGAUGUUGGCUUAGAAGCAGCCAUCAUUUAAAGAAAGCGUAAUAGCUCACUGGUCGAGUCGGCCUGCGCGGAAGAUGUAACGGGGCUAAACCAUGCACCGAAGCUGCGGCAGCGACGCUUAUGCGUUGUUGGGUAGGGGAGCGUUCUGUAAGCCUGCGAAGGUGUACUGUGAGGUAUGCUGGAGGUAUCAGAAGUGCGAAUGCUGACAUAAGUAACGAUAAAGCGGGUGAAAAGCCCGCUCGCCGGAAGACCAAGGGUUCCUGUCCAACGUUAAUCGGGGCAGGGUGAGUCGACCCCUAAGGCGAGGCCGAAAGGCGUAGUCGAUGGGAAACAGGUUAAUAUUCCUGUACUUGGUGUUACUGCGAAGGGGGGACGGAGAAGGCUAUGUUGGCCGGGCGACGGUUGUCCCGGUUUAAGCGUGUAGGCUGGUUUUCCAGGCAAAUCCGGAAAAUCAAGGCUGAGGCGUGAUGACGAGGCACUACGGUGCUGAAGCAACAAAUGCCCUGCUUCCAGGAAAAGCCUCUAAGCAUCAGGUAACAUCAAAUCGUACCCCAAACCGACACAGGUGGUCAGGUAGAGAAUACCAAGGCGCUUGAGAGAACUCGGGUGAAGGAACUAGGCAAAAUGGUGCCGUAACUUCGGGAGAAGGCACGCUGAUAUGUAGGUGAAGCGACUUGCUCGUGGAGCUGAAAUCAGUCGAAGAUACCAGCUGGCUGCAACUGUUUAUUAAAAACACAGCACUGUGCAAACACGAAAGUGGACGUAUACGGUGUGACGCCUGCCCGGUGCCGGAAGGUUAAUUGAUGGGGUUAGCGGUAACGCGAAGCUCUUGAUCGAAGCCCCGGUAAACGGCGGCCGUAACUAUAACGGUCCUAAGGUAGCGAAAUUCCUUGUCGGGUAAGUUCCGACCUGCACGAAUGGCGUAAUGAUGGCCAGGCUGUCUCCACCCGAGACUCAGUGAAAUUGAACUCGCUGUGAAGAUGCAGUGUACCCGCGGCAAGACGGAAAGACCCCGUGAACCUUUACUAUAGCUUGACACUGAACAUUGAGCCUUGAUGUGUAGGAUAGGUGGGAGGCUUUGAAGUGUGGACGCCAGUCUGCAUGGAGCCGACCUUGAAAUACCACCCUUUAAUGUUUGAUGUUCUAACGUUGGCCCCUAAUCGGGGUUGCGGACAGUGUCUGGUGGGUAGUUUGACUGGGGCGGUCUCCUCCUAAAGAGUAACGGAGGAGCACGAAGGUUGGCUAAUCCUGGUCGGACAUCAGGAGGUUAGUGCAAUGGCAUAAGCCAGCUUGACUGCGAGCGUGACGGCGCGAGCAGGUGCGAAAGCAGGUCAUAGUGAUCCGGUGGUUCUGAAUGGAAGGGCCAUCGCUCAACGGAUAAAAGGUACUCCGGGGAUAACAGGCUGAUACCGCCCAAGAGUUCAUAUCGACGGCGGUGUUUGGCACCUCGAUGUCGGCUCAUCACAUCCUGGGGCUGAAGUAGGUCCCAAGGGUAUGGCUGUUCGCCAUUUAAAGUGGUACGCGAGCUGGGUUUAGAACGUCGUGAGACAGUUCGGUCCCUAUCUGCCGUGGGCGCUGGAGAACUGAGGGGGGCUGCUCCUAGUACGAGAGGACCGGAGUGGACGCAUCACUGGUGUUCGGGUUGUCAUGCCAAUGGCACUGCCCGGUAGCUAAAUGCGGAAGAGAUAAGUGCUGAAAGCAUCUAAGCACGAAACUUGCCCCGAGAUGAGUUCUCCCUGACUCC